GGGGCUAUAGCUCAGUUGGUAGAGCGUUGCAAUGGCAUUGCAAAGGUCAGGGGUUCGAAUCCCCUUAGCUCCACCA
rnacentral:tRNA from 1 species